rnacentral:misc_RNA from 1 species
AGAGAUCAAAGAAAUUUUCUGCAGCAUCUAACAACCAAUGACAUGAAAUCUAGAGUACGGGCAAGUAUAAUAGGAAGGAUUGAAGGGCUUUUGCUCAGUGAUAUCCUGAAUUGGCCAAUUUUGUUUGACCUCACAAAUUGAAUUGGACCAUUAAAAAUUAUUUAAUGUAUUCAGAUUGUUUCCCAUUUCAGUGCUACUACCAUUUGAUUUGAUUUUGUUGAAUAAGAUGGAACUAUUCAUCUGAGUUCAACCCGGUGGUUCAUGGGUAGUGAUAAUCCAAAAGAUUUGCAUAAAAGCUGUUAAUUUGAGCUAGUGUUAUGUACUAAAAGAAGUAUUUUGUCUGGACAAUUUUCCUUUCCUAAAGGAGGAAAAGAUUUUGGUUUUGCUAUAACAUUUAUGUAUUGCUAUUGAUUGUUGACACCUCAUUGCUUUUUCACAAGCUUGUCAUGCUAUUGCUGUUCCAUUUGGGUAAAUCACACAGACAUACAGGUUGAUAUUGUUACUUAAAUAUUUAUCAGCCAUAAGUUGCAUUCCGUUGUUAAAUCAAACACCUCUGACUAGCAGAUAACAAUAACAUAGAAAACAGAAAUUGAGCAAUCCAUCAGCCCAAAUACAGUAGUCCAGAGUCUAGUAAAUCCAUCAAUCCAAAUGCAAGGACAUUAAAACAACUAAGGUAGCAGUGGCACUUUGAUUUGGAUCAGCAACAUUGGAACUAGUUGGCUGUUGUUGUUCACUAGAAUCAGCAUAAGCUCAGCAGCAGCAGUAGGGAUUACAACAAAUAAACAGAAUUAGUUUAAACAGUAAUCAUAGUAUCAGUAUUUUGAGACCAAACAGUAGGCUACGUGCAGUAUAACAUAUACACAUCAUCCCAUCAGUAAGCAAUUAAAUUGAAUUACAUAAACACAAUAUCAAUACUGCAAUAUUAACACACAAAUAACUAUAUCUGCCGAUAUUUGCAUUCAAACACACGAACAUGGCAGAAAUUUGCAUGCAAACACUCGAAUACUAAAUCGGAAAUUUGCAUAAAUCCACGAUUACCAGCUCAAAUAAGGACAUGCAUACACAGAACAAACGAUUUGGGGUUUGACGAGAUAAGGAUAAGGAGACGUACCCACCGCAACGUAGGUGGUCUGACGAG